rnacentral:rRNA from 1 species
UACGUAGGGUGCAAGCGUUAUCCGGAAUUAUUGGGCGUAAAGAGCUCGUAGGCGGUUUGUCGCGUCUGCUGUGAAAACCCGAGGCUCAACCUCGGGCCUGCAGUGGGUACGGGCAGACUAGAGUGCGGUAGGGGAGAUUGGAAUUCCUGGUGUAGCGGUGGAAUGCGCAGAUAUCAGGAGGAACACCGAUGGCGAAGGCAGAUCUCUGGGCCGUAACUGACGCUGAGACGCGAAAGCCAGGGGAGCAAACGGG